UACGUAGGGUGCAAGCGUUAAUCGGAAUUACUGGGCGUAAAGCGUGCGCAGGCGGCUUUGCAAGACAGAUGUGAAAUCCCCGGGCUCAACCUGGGAACUGCAUCUGUGACUGCAUAGCUAGAGUACGGUAGAGGGGGAUGGAAUUCCGCGUGUAGCAGUGAAAUGCGUAGAUAUGCGGAGGAACACCGAUGGCGAAGGCAAUCCCCUGGACCUGUACUGACGCUCAUGCACGAAAGCGUGGGGAGCAAACAGG
rnacentral:rRNA from 1 species